UCCCUUCCCUCUGCCUCUUUGUAGAAAUUUUUUUAUUCCUCUCUAAAGCUAGAUCAGAAGAGAGUGGAGGGUUCAUCCAGAAUCAGGGAUUAGCAUAGAAUCAGAAUAGUAGAACUGAGUGGGAACUCAAAGAUCUGGGCUACUCAGCUUCUUUUACAGCCAUACCUAACGUCACAAAAUUGGUUGGUUGCAGAUCUAAGACUCAAGCCUGUAUCUACCCACAUUCCAGGUUUUCCUCACUGCAGUGCUCUGUAAUGAAGAGACCAGGAAGACAGUUGUGCCUUACUCCCCUCCCUCUCUCCCUUGGUACCUCUACAUAGUGCUUCGGAGUGCCAGGCCAGGCAUGUGAGGAUGCAGAGGCUCAGACCUUGAUCUUGGCAGGGAUGAAAGGGCUAGGGAAGGAGAUCCGCCCACGCGGAGAAGGCACCUGCUCCCCAAUGUGGAGAUUUUGAACUAGAGGGUAUAAGAGAAACACAACAAUGCCCAGCGCCGUGCCGGCCCACUGGCAUGUGGAAACUCUACGAUAUUUGCAGAACAAAUGUGUGUGCUGGCAAGGGGAUGAGGAUGGGGCGACGAGGUUGGACAGAUAAAAGCGGGCUAGCUAUUGCCACCUGCAGUUUCUUUGCUCGGAAGGCAGAAGAAACCAUGAGAAGCCUGUCAUGGUGGACUUCUUGAUCUGCCUAGGAAGAAAGAUGUGGUCAUUAUGUGGAAGCACCACAAAUUCUUGGGGCUGGAAAGUACAGAAGAGUCCUGUGUCUGCAACCUUACUGCUCACUCUGGUCACCACUGGACUCUUCCACCCCCUGGUGUUUGGUCGUCAUAAUAAUCCCUCACAUUCAUCUUGUCUUAUUCACACUCCCAAAAAAGCCUAUGAAGAAAGAAAAAGAAAAAGAAAAAAAAGCCUGCUCUUAUGGCACUGUGCAAUUCACUAAGGAAGCAAAGGUGUCUGGGAAGCUCUUGGGAGAGAUGAAUAUAAACUACCAGACGGAGUUCCCAUCGUUGCUCGGUGGUAAGGAAA